rnacentral:rRNA from 1 species
AUGUCGAUUCUUGAUUUGUCGUGCAACAAUUUAACUGGAGCGAUCCCUCAAGAUAUUGGUGCUUUAAUUGGAUUAAGAAGUCUGAACUUUUCAUGGAACAACUUAAGUGGUGCAAUCCCUGAAAAAAUUUGUGAGCUUGAGCAAUUGGAAUCUCUGGACCUGUCAAAUAAUGAGCUUUCACACGAAAUCCCUUCAAGCAUGACAGCUCUUACCUCUUUGAGCCAUAUGAACCUGUCAUAUAACUCUCUGUCAGGAAUGAUACCAACUGGUAAUCAGUUUCAUACUUAUGACGCAUCCGUCUACAUUGGGAACACUGGUUUAUGUGGUUACCCCUUGACAAACAUCUGUCCAGGAAAUAGUUCAAGUCGACCUACACAUGCAGGUCAUGGAGAUGGAUCUGAGGAUAUAUCCCUUUACCUUGGUUUGGCUGUUGGGUAUAUCCUUGGCCUUUGGGUGGUCUUCUGUGUGAUGUUGUUUAAAAAAAGCUGA